rnacentral:rRNA from 1 species
GUGGGGAAUAUUGGACAAUGGGCGCAAGCCUGAUCCAGCCAUACCGCGUGGGUGAAGAAGGCCUUCGGGUUGUAAAGCCCUUUUGUUGGGAAAGAAAUCCAGCCGGCUAAUACCUGGUUGGGAUGACGGUACCCAAAGAAUAAGCACCGGCUAACUUCGUGCCAGCAGCCGCGGUAAUACGAAGGGUGCAAGCGUUACUCGGAAUUACUGGGCGUAAAGCGUGCGUAGGUGGUUAUUUAAGUCCGUUGUGAAAGCCCUGGGCUCAACCUGGGAACUGCAGUGGAUACUGGAUGACUAGAAUGUGGUAGAGGGUAGCGGAAUUCCUGGUGUAGCAGUGAAAUGCGUAGAGAUCAGGAGGAACAUCCAUGGCGAAGGCAGCUACCUGGACCAACAUUGACACUGAGGCACGAAAGCGUGGGGAGCAAACAGGAUUAGAUACCC